GUAGGUGGCAAGCGUUGUCCGGAAUUAUUGGGCGUAAAGCGCGCGCAGGCGGUUCUUUAAGUCUGAUGUGAAAGCCCACGGCUCAACCGUGGAGGGUCAUUGGAAACUGGAGAGCUUGAGUACAGAAGAGGAAAGCGGAAUUCCACGUGUAGCGGUGAAAUGCGUAGAGAUGUGGAGGAACACCAGUGGCGAAGGCGGCUUUCUGGUCUGUAACUGACGCUGAGGCGCGAAAGCGUGGGGGAGCAAACAGGAUUAGAUACCCUGGUAGUCCACGCCGUAAACGAUGAGUGCUACGUGUUAGGGGGUUUCCGCCCCUUAGUGCUGCAGCUAACGCAUUAAGCACUCCGCCUGGGAGUACGGCCGCAAGGCUG
rnacentral:rRNA from 1 species